rnacentral:misc_RNA from 1 species
GAUGAAGAACGCAGCGAAAUGCGAUAAGUAAUGUGAAUUGCAGAAUUCAGUGAAUCAUCGAAUCUUUGAACGCACAUUGCGCCCGCCAGUAUUCUGGCGGGCAUGCCUGUUCGAGCGUCAUUUCAACCAUCAAGCCCCCGGCUUGUGUUGGGGACCUGCGGCUGCCGCAGGCCCUGAAAAGCAGUGGCGGGCUCGCUGUCACACCGAGCGUAGUAGCAUACAUCUCGCUCUGGGCAUGCUGCGGGUUCCGGCCGUUAAACCACCUUCAUAACCCAAGGUUGACCUCGGAUCAGGUAGGAAGACCCGCUGAACUUAAGCAUAUCAAUAAGCGGAGGA